rnacentral:rRNA from 1 species
UACGGAGGGUGCAAGCGUUAUCCGGAAUCAUUGGGUUUAAAGGGUCCGCAGGCGGUUCUAUAAGUCAGUGGUGAAAUCUCUCGGCUCAACCGAGAAACUGCCAUUGAUACUGUAGGACUUGAAUUCGGUCGAAGUGGGCGGAAUAUGACAUGUAGCGGUGAAAUGCUUAGAUAUGUCAUAGAACACCGAUAGCGAAGGCAGCUCACUAGGCCUGGAUUGACGCUCAGGGACGAAAGCGUAGGGAGCAA